CCUCUCCGUGAUGAUGAAGUAAUCGCCUAUCUCUUGGCUGGCCUUGGACCGGACUACGAUCCGUUUGUCACGUCCAUGACCACCAAUAGCGAGCCUCUCACCCUCGACGACGUCUACUCCCACUUCUUGGCGUUUGAGG